rnacentral:lncRNA from 1 species
AACCCCGAACCUGAUCGUGAUGGCGCCUCUCGUGAAGACAAGGCCAGCCAGACCCAAGCAGAACACCUCGUUUAAACAACUAAAUACCAUAAAUAUUCUAAAACAUGAUAUAAUAAUCAUAAUUUGCGGAAGUAACGAUAACAAUAGUAGAAACCAUCCCGACACAACCCAAGUCGGGGUGUCACAAGUCAUGAGCAACUAAUAAAUUCGGAUACCGGUCUAUUAGAUACGAAAUCCAAUACAGAAGUUCAAGGACAUAAAAAUAGUAAGAUAAGGGAGGCACGGGGCUGCAGACGCCAACAACUACCUCGUAGUCUCCAAAAAUACUGCCUGGACUGGGAGGAUCAGCACUCAGGAGCGGACUCUGCGAUGCCUGAAUCUGCAUACACGGUGCAUGGAGUAAUGUGAGUACCCCGACUCAGUGAGUAAUAAUCAUAAAUAAUGGCUGAAAGCAAUAAAAUACAUAAAGGCACAAAACAAUUGUAUAUCAAGCAGUAAAAAUCACUUAAAGUAGUAAAUCAGUGAAGACGACAAGUGAAAUCUCUUUAAAUCAGGUAAAACGGUAAUUUAGCAGGUAAGUAACAAGCAGAAAUCCACCCCUCGAGCACAAUGUUAAUCACUUAGAAAAAUAUCAGCGCCUCGAGCUCACUCUCAUCACUUGGUGCUCAUUCUCAGCUCUCGACCCAUAUAUCUCUCAUAAUAACAGAAAUCAGAAUAACCGCUACGGUGUGCAGCCCGUUCCGUACAUCGCUGCGGCGUGCAGCCCGAUCCAUAAAGAUAGUCGAGUGCGCUCACUGGGGGUGUGCAUACUCCGGAGGGGCUCCUACAACCCAAGCGCUAUAUUGCUGCAGCGUGCAGCCCGAUCCAUAUAAGUAUUGCAGCGGUGUGCAGCCCGAUCCAUAACAUAUAUAAUAUCCUCACCAUUGGGUUCUCAACCCCUCUCAGUCAUUAACCUCACAGUCUCUCGAGCACAAUAAUAGAAGAUAGGGAUCUCAGCCCACAAAUUCCUCUCAUUUAGGAAUAGUAUGACAAAACCGGCUCGAAUCGUUUAAAAUAGAGAGAAACAUGAGCGAGGAUACAAUUUUUAACAAGUAUAGUGAGGAAAAUCAGUCAAAAUCCCCGAAGGGUUCAAAUAGUUAACACGAAGCCCAAAUAUGAAAAUUAGCCCCAAAUCAUGAUGAUAACAAGUAAGUUUCAGUCAAAUACGCGGUAAAAUCACCAAUCGGGACGGACCAAGUCUCAAUCCCCCGUAGUAAAAGAUCCAACGCUCAUCAUCGGGCGUAUGUCUCACCUCAAUAUAGCACUACGAUGUGUAAUUCGUGGUUUCAAACCCUCAGAGCAUCAUUUACAAUCAUUGCUCACCU